rnacentral:rRNA from 1 species
UAUUGAACGCUGGCGGCAGGCCUAACACAUGCAAGUCGAGCGGAUGAGUGGAGCUUGCUCCAUGAUUCAGCGGCGGACGGGUGAGUAAUGCCUAGGAAUCUGCCUGGUAGUGGGGGACAACGUUUCGAAAGGAACGCUAAUACCGCAUACGUCCUACGGGAGAAAGUGGGGGAUCUUCGGACCUCACGCUAUCAGAUGAGCCUAGGUCGGAUUAGCUAGUUGGUGAGGUAAAGGCUCACCAAGGCGACGAUCCGUAACUGGUCUGAGAGGAUGAUCAGUCACACUGGAACUGAGACACGGUCCAGACUCCUACGGGAGGCAGCAGUGGGGAAUAUUGGACAAUGGGCGAAAGCCUGAUCCAGCCAUGCCGCGUGUGUGAAGAAGGUCUUCGGAUUGUAAAGCACUUUAAGUUGGGAGGAAGGGCAGUAAGUUAAUACCUUGCUGUUUUGACGUUACCAACAGAAUAAGCACCGGCUAACUUCGU